rnacentral:rRNA from 1 species
AGAAUCAACGCUGGCGGCGUGCCUAACACAUGCAAGUCGAACGAGAAAGGGUAGCAAUACCUGAGUAAAGUGGCGCACGGGUGAGUAACACGUGACUAACCUACCUUUUAGUGGGGGGAUAACCUAGGGAAACCUGGGCUAAUACCGCAUAAUACCUACGGGUCAAAGCAGCAAUGCGCUGAAUGAGGGGGUCGCGGUCGAUUAGUUAGUUGGCAGGGUAAUGGCCUACCAAGACUGUGAUCGAUAUCCGGCCUGAGAGGGCGCACGGACACACUGGAACUGAAACACGGUCCAGACUCCUACGGGAGGCAGCAGUGGGAAUUUGCGCAAUGGGGGAAACCCUGACGCAGCAACGCCGCGUGGAGGAUGAAGUCCCUUGGGACGUAAACUCCUUUCGAUCGGGACGAUAAUGACGGUACCGGAAGAAGAAGCCCCGGCUAACUUCGUGCCAGCAGCCGC